GACAUAUUGAGUUUGUGCGCCUCUGUGUUUAGUAAGAGACGUUUAAAUCUGAUUUUAACCUAAACUGGCAAUUCUGACAUUUGUCUCUGGUCUUUAAAGCAGGAGCUAUGAUGCCACCAGCCAGAGGACGGCGGGCUGCUCCCGCCAGCCGCCCGUGACCUCACGCGGGAGGGGAGGAACGAGCAGACUGCGGAGCAGCUCUCCCGUCGUUUCGGCAAGCACGCCUAAAAGCGGGCUAAUGGGACCCCCGACGGCUGCCCCCGCCGAGCCCCGUCCCUCUGUCCGUCCCUCCGUCCGUCCAUCCCGCCGGAGCUGCCCCGGCACCAACGGCUCCUGCGGCGGCCGGGGGUCCUGGGCGUUUCAUCCCCACCGGGGCCGUGCGGAGCAGCCCCCGGGGAGAAGCCGUAAGGACACAAAACAGGAGGCAGAGGAGGGGCUGGGCGAUGCCUGGGGGGGCCGCGCCGCCCCCCGAAACCCCGCUGCAGUGGCGCGCCGGGCGAGCGUGCUUUGCGCCGGGCUAGCGUGCAUUAACGAGCUCAUUAAGUGAUGGAUGCGCUUAAUUUUCCUGUCAAACGCGGACUUCCCUUGUAAACAUGUCAAUUGAGAGAAGUUCGAGCUUGUCGCUGGGGUUUGCGGCUGGGGUAACGCGCAGGUGGAAGAGAGCGCUGCGGCCCCCGUGGCCCCGCGCAGCCCCCCGCGUGCUGACCGCGGCCCCUCGCCCCGCACGGACGCGCGUUUGACCUCCUGCAGCAUGCACAAGCACAUGCAGUAUAUAUAUAUGUAAAAAAUAUUGUGUAUAUAACCUGCUGGGCCGGUGCAUAUUGCCAUUCCCUGGGAGAGCUGCAAGGAGAUGCAGACCUGCUCCAGCUCGGGGCUGACACAAGCCGGGCUUUGUGCUAGCUGAAGCCUCAGAAACACGUGGUUUUUGGCUGCAGCCUGCACGGACGGAGGCCGUGGCCGCGGCGAACGGUCACCCCGAGCAGCGCGGCAGGGUCGGCCGUCCUGCCACCUCUUCGGCUGAGGCUCGCGCUCGCCAGGGCUACGCGAGAGCUGUCGGUAACUCCUGCUGCGAUGCAGGAAAGCGCAGGACUCCCCGUUUUCUUCCGGGCUCCGCUGCGCAGGGGGUGUCACGCGCGGUUUGCGCUGCAGCGGGACGGCUGCUCCGCGUGUCCAGCCCCAAAACAGUUUUGUUUUUUUUAAUUUUCUAAGAAACAACAGCGAAUAGAGAAUUUGUGAAAUCGAUGGGAUGUGACUUAUUCUGAUUUUCCCGGAAGACUCUCAGUGAGGUCCAACCUUGCCAAGCGCACCGAGGGGACGACCAGCUGCCCGGGACGCGCGAACCGGCCGCGAGGGUGAAAGUGCCGCAGCCGGAGCGAUGGGCUCGGCUCAGCGCCGCUCCCCAGACGUCCCAGGUCCGUUCCUGGGCUGGCGACGGCUAUAAAUAAGCUGUUUUUGAUUGAUUCAUUUUUAUUUCUGCUAACUUUUAUCACAAAACAGCAGUCACCGAAUCGACACCUCGGCUCCCUCAAGCAUAUUCCCUCCGGUGUCAUUUUUUGAUAAAUGCCAGGAACAGCCCGGCAGCGGGAGGCCGCUAUCCCGCGACGUGCUCCGCGCUGCUCGCGUUAUCUCCGGAAUAACCCGGGUGCCUGCGCAGCCCCCGGUGCUCGUGGUGGGGGCCGGGGGCACCGCGCUCGCAGCCGGGCGCAGCUCGCCCUCCGCGUCUCGCCCUGGGACGGCUUCGCAGCCGCCUGCCCGAACCAGGACCGGGGUUGUCUCAGGUUUCGGAGCCUCCCGCCUUCCCCUGCCCUUUUCUUCCCCAAAAUUCCCCAUGCAACACCACCAGCCGAGCAGCACGGAGCGAAAGCAGGGCUGUGCGCGGGGCCAGCCGUGCCGCCGGCCUCCCACUCCCGCACCGGCGCAGGCGACUGCGGAGAGGCACCGCGGGCAGGGAGGAGCCCCGGCCGCUGAAACCCCGCCGGGCUCCGGGUCCGGCCGCUGCUCCUCCGCGCCGGGGACGUGCCAUCGCCUCGCGUCAGCCGUGCGCUGCCUCAGUGUUUAUUUUUGCUAAUAUGACACAAUUAAAGGGUAAUCGUAGCUGUACCUUUCACACCGCGUCAGGCGAGAUGAGUGCUGCUGAAAGGAUGAUACUAACGUGACACGAUAGGACGUCGUUAACGUGAUGAAACGUUCAGGUCAUAUUAAUAUAGGAAAGAAGGGAGUGAGAGCUUUGAUCUGUCUCACCCUUCUUGGGUCAUUUGCUGCUGCGCCCGGGAACGCGGGGCCGCGUCCGCUCCCUCCCGGCUGGCGCAGCCCUGCCGUGUCCGUGCAGUCAGAGGCAGCAGGACAGGGAAAAGAUUCGAGACCUGCAGCUCCUGCAUCCUGGUCCGUGCAGGCGGGGAUGGCUCAGGCCUCCCACCGCUCUGCCCGCUCCAAGCGCUCCGCUUCCCGGGCACUUUCCACUCGGAGCAGCCCCUUCAAUCUGAAACUUUGAGGCAUGGUGGCAAAACUUGGAGGAAAUAAUUAACAAUUAUUUCACAGGAGAAGGUUCCAGCUGGAGCAGUAUCUGCUGGUUGAACAUAUAUCUAACAAAGGAUUGUUAUUUAAGCAAUAACCCUUGAGAAAUUGGUCGUUACCAGCAUUAAACGACUCAGCCCAUUGCCAAGGAUGGUUAACGCUCUAAUAAACUGGUCAUUAACUGCAGUAACAAUGAAUUUCGAGGGGAUUAUUGCUAUUAUAAACCUUAAUCAAUGGUUUAUAACAGCAAUAAUGUGGUCCUUUCUUUUAAUGGUAAGUAGUGCGGCAUGAGCAGCCUGCUUGGAAAUAUUUUCAGUCUGGCUGAUAAGACAAAAGCAGGCGUUCAAAACCCUAAACAUUUCUGGGGAGAAAAAGACCAAACAAGAUCCCCAGUGAGAGGGAUGAUGUGCUGGCCACAGCGUUUGCUAGAUGCAGAUGUGCAGAUGCAGAUGUGCAGAGCAGGCACCGAGCUCGGACAAGCCUGGGCCGGGCGGGAAAGGCAGAGCCCCAGAGGAAAGCGCGGCGGGGAGAGGGAGCCCCGCGGACGGCCUGCCCGGCAGCCGGGCACGGGCAGAAACACCGUGCCUGAGUUAAACCCUGGGAGAUGCUGCCAUUAGCUGGGUUUCGGAGUCGCUGCAUGAUCCCCCGGUGAGGAGAGGCCCUGGGUGGAGCGGCAGAAAGACCCCGUCCGGGGAUAAAGGAUGGGCCCCAAGCCCAGCGUCGCGCACACAGAGACCCCGGCAGCAGGCAACCGCUGCCCCGAAGAACAGGAUCCAUCUCUGCCUCCGCACAAAGAACCACUCACGUUUUUCUGGUCAUAAACUGCCCAGUCUCUAAACCCAGCUGCUGCACCGCGCUUGGCUCUGCACGUGCUGCUGCUGCUGCUGCAAACCCUGCAGCUGAAAACGUCCCAGCUCCCCGUUCCCUUUUCUUUUCCCGGUGCUCUUCUGGAGACUCUUAUUACUGCUUUUGUUUCCAUGUGAGACAGAUAUGUUGACUAUUCACAAAGUGAAAAAGCCGAGAAAUAGGCAGGCUAAUCCUCGGCCUGCAAAGGACCCGGGGAAUUAAAGAGCUGAGGCAGCAGCCGCUGCGGCCGGCAAGUGGGAUGGGAGACCCUGAACCCGGCGGAUUUUCCCGGAGGCGGAUGCGGAGCGGGGCCUCUGCUCCCGCUCCCUGGGGACGAGGAGCGUUUGCACCCUGGAGACCCAGGGAGUUCGGCUCUUCCCCUUGGUGUUUGGAGGCCUCAUCCCGGCUCCGCACGGACCUGCUGCUGCGGAGGCAGCUCCGCUCCCGCUUCCCAGCGCAGGGCAGAGCUGGGGGCUCCCGCGGAGGCCAGGGAGGAUCUCCAGCGACUUCGGCUAGCAGCAAGCCUCGAGACAAGGACGAGUUGUAAUUAUGCCCUGGCUUAAAUGGAGAUUUCCCCUCUUCUGUACUUGAGAUUUUUAUGGAUCUUCAGAGCAGCUUCUCAGUCCCGCUCUUCUCUCCGCGCUGCCCUCGCUAAGCUGGAGGAGGAACUCCUCGGCUGCGGCCAACCGGAGCGAGGCCACCAGGACUUUGGGGCCUUGGGCGGGUUCUGGCCAACUUUCCGACGUCCUUCCGACACGGUCCCCCCCGUGCCUUGCUCAGCGUGGCUGUCGGCGUCCCUUCCCGCGGAGGGGGUGAUCGCUAACGUCUCCUUCUUCCCUUUUUUUUCCGAAGAAGGCUGUACCGGAAUAAAUUGGAAAGUUUACUUCAUGUAGCAUGGAAAUAAAAAAGCUCAUUCAGAAAGUUAA